rnacentral:tRNA from 1 species
AGCACCAUAGCUCAGAGGAAGAGCGCAGGGCUCAUAACCCUGAGGUCCCAAGAUCGAAACUUGGUGGUGCUA